AGCACAAGACCACAGAAAUGACAGAGAGACAAGAGAGAGAGGAAGAGAGAGAGAGAGAGAGAGAGAGCGGGUGGAUCGUGCGUUGUCUUGCACUCUAGGCUGCAUUGUCAAUCAGUGAAGGACAAGAAAUACUGCAAGGAACAUUUCCAUCCACAACCCUUGUGUACUACUGCCUUAUCCGAAAGUCUGGAGAAGAAAAUAGCCUUCCACUGCUGGACGUGUAUGGCCACACCCUGGCUCCUGAUGGUGUCAAUGAGAGACAGACAUGCAAUCUGGAGCAGAGAGGCGGACCGCACUGAGUUCGAAAAGAUAGUGAAGAAAGCAAAUAGUGACAUCGCAGCAAAGAAGCAAUUUGAUUGGUUGGAGAAGAAGCUAGCUGUUUGG